GCACAAGCGGUGGAGCAUGUGGUUUAAUUCGACGCAACGCGAAGAACCUUACCUGGGCUCGAAAUGUACGUGAAUCCGGCAGAAACGUCGGCGUCUAGCAAUAGACACGUAUAUAGGUGCUGCAUGGCUGUCGUCAGCUCGUGUCGUGAGAUGUUGGGUUAAGUCCCGCAACGAGCGCAACCCUUAUCUACAGUUGCUACCAUUUAGUUGAGCACUCUGUCGAAACCGCCUCGGAUAACGGGGAGGAAGGUGGGGAUGACGUCAAGUCCUCAUGGCCUUUAUGUCCAGGGCUACACACGUGCUACAAUGGCCGGUACAAACCGCUGCAAACCCGCGAGGGGGAGCUAAUCGGAAAAAGCCGGCCUCAGUUCGGAUUGGAGUCUGCAACUCGACUCCAUGAAGCUGGAAUCGCUAGUAAUCGUGGAUCAGCAUGCCACGGUGAAUACGUUCCCGGGC
rnacentral:rRNA from 1 species